UACAGAGGUCCCGAGCGUUGUUCGGAUUCAUUGGGCGUAAAGGGUGCGUAGGUGGUGCCGUAAGUUGGAUGUGAAAUCCCGGAGCUCAACUCCGGAACUGCAUUCAAUACUGCGGUGCUAGAGUACUGGAGAGGAGAUUGGAAUUCACGGUGUAGCAGUGAAAUGCGUAGAUAUCGUGAGGAAGACCAGUGGCGAAGGCGGAUCUCUGGACAGUUACUGACACUGAGGCACGAAGGCCAGGGGAGCAAACGGG
rnacentral:rRNA from 1 species